GACGAACGCUGGCGGCGUGCUUAACACAUGCAAGUCGAACGAUGAACCGGAGCUUACUCUGGGGAUUAGUGGCGAACGGGUGAGUAACACGUGGGCAACCUGCCCCAGACACCGGGAUAACCAUUGGAAACGAUGGCUAAUACCGGAUACGACCACUUCGGGCAUCCGAUGGUGGUGGAAAGGAUUCUGGUCUGGGAUGGGCCCGCGGCCUAUCAGCUUGUUGGUGGGGUAAUGGCCUACCAAGGCAACGACGGGUAGCCGGCCUGAGAGGGGGACCGGCCACACUGGGACUGAGACACGGCCCAGACUCCUGCGGGAGGCAGCAGUGGGGAAUAUUGCGCAAUGGGCGAAAGCCUGACGCAGCGACGCCGCGUGAGGGACGAAGGUCUUCGGAUUGUAAACCUCUUUCAGCAGGGAUGAAGCGAAAGUGACAGUACCUGCAGAAGAAGCACCGGCUAACUACGUGCCAGCAGCCGCCGUAAUAC
rnacentral:rRNA from 1 species